rnacentral:rRNA from 1 species
UACGUAGGCAGCGAGCGUUGUUCGGAGUUACUGGGCGUAAAGGGUGUGUAGGCGGUUGUUUAAGUUCGGUGUGAAAUCUCCUGGCUCAACUGGGAGGGUGCGCCGGAAACUGGAGUGCUUGAGCGUGGGAGAGGAAAGCGGAAUUCCUGGUGUAGCGGUGAAAUGCGUAGAUAUCAGGAGGAACACCUGCGGUGUAGACGGCUUUCUGGACCAUUGUUGAACGCUGAGACACGAAAGCGUGGGUAGCAAACAGG